CCCACUCCUUCAGUCACAUACCGAUCGAUAUCACAUCCCUGCACAGGCUCGGGGGCCUGGGAGAGGGAACAUUUGCGGCCAGUAGGCCUAAUCCCUGCAAUGUUUCAACCGUUCCUUCCUGAAGACCCCAAAACAUUUCUGCGCAGAUUAUGGGCGCGUUCCUCUUCCCAGGCGUUGCUGACGCAUACAGCUAUCCACGUCAUAUGUUAUAUCAAUCUGGUGCCCGACGGCACAGUCGAUGAGGCUAGUAUCGUAGCAAAGUCUAUAUAUUUUUUAAUAACUAACCCCAUUUUUAUAAUUGACCAGAGCCUAUUGUUUCAAAUGGAAGCAAAUUAAUCAUAGUGGGCAGAACAAGCAAGGGGGUGGGCAGAGCCAAGCACGAGCUAGCGAGGUCCUAUUUGUGCGUUCUCGCAUUUAUUUGCAUAUUUCUGUUGGGGAACGUCUACGCUGUGAAGUUCGCGUUUGCAAUAACCCAAUUCGCUCUUGCGCUCCUUCUAAACAAUGCAAUUUUUAGAAACAAAAGCUCACCCAGAGAUGAAGUGGAAGAGAGACGCCCAACUCGGUGGAAAUUCUCUCUCCCUCCAGCAGGUGGCGGUUUUUCGUUGUUUCUCCCACCAAGCAAUGAGUGUCGAAUUUGGUCAAUAAAAAAAUGAAUGGAUUAUUUUUUUAUUUACUUAACCUUUAUUUAACUAGGCAAGUCAGUUAAGAACAAGUUCUUAUUUACAAUGACGGCCUACCCCGAUCAAACCUUAACCCGGACAAUUGUGCACUGCCCUAUGAGACUCCCAAUCACGACCGGUUGCGAUACAGCCUUGAAUCAAACCAGGGUCUGUAGUGACACCUCUAGCACUGAGAUGCAGUGUCUUAGACCGCUGCACCACUCAGGAGCCCUAUUUGCUAAGUGAGAUUUAUUUGAUCAAAUAGAAAUGUCCUAAUUUUUUAAUUGUUAAGUGUACUGAUAUAAGUAGGACACGUGUCAUCCCGGCAACUUUGAGAAAAAACACUUUAUAACAGUUAUCUCGAGAUGGCUAUGCAUAUUAUGAAAUGCAUAUUAGGAAAUGAGGCUAGUAACAUAGCAACUCUCUCCAUUGAAUACAAGCGGUUGAGGUCAACAACCCUCAUCGAAUAUUCAAAUAAUGAUUACAAUAAUGAGAUGUAUUUGGCACGCCUCACCAUGCAUCAACUUUUGUGUGUCGCUUAGUUAUGGCGUCAAAUGAGGUACAGUGGAGGAGGAGCUUUGUGGGCCUUGUAGUUCUAGCAGAGGGCAGACAGACCCCAUGUCGUGCAAUGACCAUACAGUCAUUUUAACCAGCAUUACUUGCAUAACAGCAUAGAGAGACAGCUAAAAUAGGGGAAAGUAUAGUAUAGGUCUAGUACUGACAGAGGGUCAGAUGUUACGAGUCUAGAAUGAUAGGUGAGAUUCUCUAUAUCCUUUCAAAAAAGCCCAAAUGCACCUAACAUAACUUGCUAGCUCCUCGAAUAUCACAUAGAAACAUUAUUUGAUGGACUAUGACACUCUCAUAUCAUGUUUUUUAAUCCCUCCAGGUGAGAAUGGCUUCCAAACAUGACAAUAAAUGAAUGGUAUUCUUCAAUAUUGCUUCUUUUUAAGGUCACAAUUUUCCAGAUCGUUGUUAAAUAACUAUGUGGCCUAUGUGGCCAAUAAUGACUAUGUUCAUUUGUUUUGGAAUUAGCCAUUCCCAGAGCCAUAUAUUUAGAAAGCUAGGCCAAUGCAGUUUCUGCAUUAUGAUACAUUUACAUGUGUUAGGUUCUUAUUUUUCAGAGUAAAUAACUCACGGACAUUAGAGAAGCUUAACCAAGUUUAAUUCUUCCCAAAGGGUCGUUGUUACGGAUACAGUUAUCCUGUGUGUGUGUGUAUCCUGUGUGUGUUUCUUUUCUCUCCUUCUCCCCUCACAGGUGAAAACCAUCACUCCCCAAUCAGUCAACAAUCAAUCAUCAAUCAGAAGACACACCUCCUCCUAUUUCCUACCCUAUCACAGUUCCUUCCCCAUGGUUUAAAAACCCCAUCAUUUGUUUGCUCUAGAGCAAUCUCGAGCAAUCUCUAGCUCAAUCUCUCUGUAAAUGCCAGGUCUGUAGGUCUCUGUGUUUCACUCUCGCUUUGUGUCUUAAACCUCUCUUUUGUUUAAACACCUCCAUAGCACUUUGUCAUCACCUGUGAGUAUUGUUUUUGGUUAUGGUGUUUGUUUGUUGCUGGUGGGAAAAGGGGGAAACCAAGACAAGUCGCCCAUGGGCAUACACUACCCGUAGGUGAACUUUGUUAAAUACACUAGUUAGAACUGGGCGGACCACCCACUGUAUUUUUGGUUAGUUAGUUAGCUGUUGUUAAAGUAGGCUAGUCUAGCUUAGGGGUGUUU